rnacentral:tRNA from 1 species
AGGGCGCUGGAUCUCUUUGGAUGCGCUCGGACGCUGGUCAAAGUGACUCAUAAUCCUUUGGUCGUUGGUUCAAGUCCAACACGCCCUACCA